rnacentral:sRNA from 1 species
UAUUUUCAAUUUGUAUUCUUUAACUAAUUUAAGCUAACUAAUAUAUUUGUUAAUCUUAUACCUAUCAAAAUCAACUAUCGUUUCUUAUCUCUAUAGUAUUUUUGCAAGACUUUUUUGGUGGAUUUGGGUAAAAGUGCAUUCGGGUCAUAUGGUGCAUUCCCAUAUUAAAUAAAUAUGGUGCACUCCUAUGUUAUUAGCUAAAAUGUUUAGAUUAGAAAUCAAAGUCAUAUCAUAAAUAAAAUUAAUAUUAAUAAAAUAAAUGGCUUUUUGGCAAGACGGAUUUGGAGGAAUGGGUUUUUGGAUCAACAUUAAGAAAAAGUAAAAUAUAAUUAAUCCACCGUUUCAAUACGGGUUAAAUCUUUAAUUUAUUAUUUUUUAAGACUACUAAUAUUAAACAUAUCAAAUCAUCCUAAUUUAGAAAAGAUUAUAUAAAACCAAAAAUGUUAUGUGGUAUGUAUAAUGUUACUAUAUAUAAAAUUAAACUAUAAAAUAUAUAUUAGAGAAUGAUACAAUUUACAAAACUUUUAUAUAUAAUAAAUAAUUCUUAAAUUUUAAAAAUUACUACUUUAAAAAAAAUUCACGGAACGGGUAAAGAAAUUAUAGAAUAGGUUUUAUUUUUGGAAUUGAGUUAUAUGGUGGAUGUAUUUGAAUCAAUAUUUAUAAAAUUCUAAAAUAUUAU